GGGCGAAUGGCGGAAUUGGCAUACGCUCUGGAUUUAGGAUCCAGUGGGGAAACCCGUGGGAGUUCGAAUCUCCCUUCGCCCA
rnacentral:tRNA from 1 species